CGUACACUCCUACGGGAGGCAGCAGUGGGGAAUAUUGCACAAUGGGCGCAAGCCUGAUGCAGCCAUGCCGCGUGUAUGAAGAAGGCCUUCGGGUUGUAAAGUACUUUCAGCGGGGAGGAAGGCAAUACGGUUAAUAACCGUGUUGAUUGACGUUACCCGCAGAAGAAGCACCGGCUAACUCCGUGCCAGCAGCCGCGGUAAUACGGAGGGUGCAAGCGUUAAUCGGAAUUACUGGGCGUAAAGCGCACGCAGGCGGUCUGUCAAGUCGGAUGUGAAAUCCCCGGGCUCAACCUGGGAACUGCAUUCGAAACUGGCAGGCUUGAGUCUUGUAGAGGGGGGUAGAAUUCCAGGUGUAGCGGUGAAAUGCGUAGAGAUCUGGAGGAAUACCGGUGGCGAAGGCGGCCCCCUGGACAAAGACUGACGCUCAGGUGCGAAAGCGUGGGGAGCAAACAGGAUUAGAAACCCGUGUAGUCC
rnacentral:rRNA from 1 species